GUCCACGCCCUAAACGAUGUCGACUAGUUGUUGGGGAAGGUAACUUCCUUAGUAACGUAGCUAACGCGCGAAGUCGACCGCCUGGGGAGUACGGCCGCAAGGUUAAAACUCAAAGGAAUUGACGGGGACCCGCACAAGCGGUGGAUGAUGUGGUUUAAUUCGAUGCAACGCGAAAACCUUACCUACCUUUGACAUGUACGGAAUUCGCCAGAGAUGGCUUAGUGCUCGAAAGAGAACCGUAACACAGGUGCUGCAUGGCUGUCGU
rnacentral:rRNA from 1 species